GCCAGCAGCCAUAUCACCCUGCAACUGGCAGCCCACUGAAGCUCAGCAGGGGUGAGCCUGGUCAGUAUCUGCAUGGGAGACCUCGUGGGAAAACUAAGGUUGUGACUAGAA
rnacentral:rRNA from 1 species